CCCUUACGAUGGCUGUGCCUUGUCAGUUGCUUGAAGCUGCGUUCAGGGAUUUCCUGAGCCUUAUGGAUUUACAGUGACAUUCAGCUGCCCGAGAAUGACGGCGGAGGAAGCAUGGUCUGGAAUCACACGCACCGGGCACACGUUUGGAUGUUAACGGCAGUUUUCAGGAAGACCAUGGCUGAGUGCCUGGCAGAUCCCUGCACCUGGACACCUGUGGGGGACAGAGGACCGCGGCUUCCUGUGAUGCCUGGGAUCUCUGCCCUGUGUCUGCAUGGGCGUUGGCUUGGGUCGCGGCCAGCCUCACUGAGGAUGCCUGUGAAACGUAAGGCCCACCUCCUCCUCGUGCUCCUGCGCGUUCUGUCAGGUGCCCCCCUGGGCUUUCAGGGACUCUGGCCUGGCUGGGGCGAGAGAAGUCACAGUGACGGAGCCGGUUCUCAGGGGGACAUGGCAGUUACUGACCUCCCUCCGGGUGUCUGCUGGAUGCUGGGUACGUGGGGAGACAGCAGGAAACUGAAAGGAGCUUUCCAGCAGCCCCCCGGCUCCCCGUGCCGAUGUGCGUUGUCGUGCCGGUCAGCAUUCCCUGACGGCCGGGCUCCUGGGCCGGUCUCCGGGCACCAGACCACACGGGCCUUGAAGGCGGGGGUCUGGAAGACAGAGUCUAGUGUCUCCUGCUGCAGAAAGGGCAUGAAGGCGUGAUGAAUCCCAUCAUACCUUGGAUUUUGGUGCUAUCAGUCUGAAAAGCAGACGUACCUGUCUGGUACUCUAGAGGGAAUGUCCUUUCCUGAAUGAAAAAGCUGGGCCAUUUGGGGAUUUGGAGAAUAAAGGUUGUCAGGCUGUGAUUUUAGCGGCGUCCUGAGCUCCUGUGGAGAUUUGCCUCUCUCCAGCCUUGGGCCAUCUGCAUUCCUUAACAUCUCUGGGCCCAGAAGGAAAAGGAGAAUGCUGACCAGCUCUGGGAAUGGUCUGAAUGAGGAGAGCACGGUUCCUGGCGGCGGUGGCCUCGGUCCGCAAACAGCCUUGUCCGCAAUGUGCCCAACACGUUGGAAACCUUCUCUUCCCGCAGCUCAGGAUAGAAAACGCAGUCCCGGGGUGGAGUGUGAGAGAACUGCUCAGACAUGUUAAGUAACUCAACAGAGGUCACAUAGCUAAGGGACUCAGAGGAACGUAUCAAGUAGUGAAGGCCAUUUUCCAUCACUGCUGUCCUCCACGAGCUUAUGUCUGGAAUGGGAGGCAUCUUUGCACUAAUGAACAGGUUGGAUGGAGCCCAGAAAACACUUAACACAGGUAGCAUUGACCCAGAGAGAAGUGAAUCCUUGUGUCCAGUGACUAGAAGACACAUGAACCUGGAAAAAGGAGCCUAGGAGAUUGCUGUGUUUCCCCCACAUAGGAGAACACCCACCCCCUCCUGCCCCUCGCCUGUAACACAUGACACAUUUAGCAGUGAUUUGGUCACUGCUGAGCUAUCUUCAUUUAAUGUGAUUUUGACAGAAGAGUUGGUCUGGAAAUUGUAUUUUCAAUUAAACUUCCUUGUUGAGCUGC